GAUGAACGCUGGCGGCGUGCCUAAUACAUGCAAGUCGAGCGAACGGACGCGAAGCUUGCUUUUCUGAUGUUAGCGGCGGACGGGUGAGUAACACGUGGAUAACCUACCUAUCAGACUGGGAUAACUUCGGGACACCGGAGCUAAUACCGGAUAAUAUUUUGAACCGCAUGGUUCAAAAGUGAAAGACGGUCUUGCUGUCACUUAUAGAUGGAUCCGCGCUGCAGUAGCUAGUUGGUAAGGUAACGGCUUACCACGGCAACGAUGCAUAGCCGACCUGAGAGGGUGAUCGGCCACACUGGAACUUAGACACGGUCCAGACUCCUACGGGAGGCAGCAGUAGGGAAUCUGCCGCAGUGGGCGAAAGCCUGACGGAGCAACGCCGCGUGAGUGAUGAAGGUCUUCGGAUCGUAAAACUCUGUUAUUAGGGAAGAACAUAUUUGUAAGUAACUGUGCACAUCUUGACGGUACCUAAUCAGAAAGCCACGGCUAACUACGUG
rnacentral:rRNA from 1 species